rnacentral:tRNA from 1 species
UGAAAAUGGCUUUGGCGCAGUGGAUACGCUGGGGGAGGACGGCAAAGUUCAUGAUCCGGAACGCAUUCAAUAUUUAA